rnacentral:rRNA from 1 species
UUGAACGCUGGCGGAAUGCUUUACACAUGCAAGUCGAGCGGCAGCGCGGGGGCAACCCUGGCGGCGAGCGGCGAACGGGUGAGUAACAUAUCGGAACGUACCCCGUCGUGGGGGAUAACACAGCGAAAGUUGUGCUAAUACCGCAUACGACCUGAGGGUGAAAGCGGGGGACCGUAAGGCCUCGCGCGAUGGGAGCGGCCGAUAUCGGAUUAGCUAGUUGGUGAGGUAAAGGCUCACCAAGGCGACGAUCCGUAGCUGGUCUGAGAGGACGACCAGACACACUGGAACUGAGACACGGUCCAGACUCCUACGGGAGGCAGCAGUGGGGAAUUUUGGACAAUGGGGGCAACCCUGAUCCAGCCAUUCCGCGUGAGUGAAGAAGGCCUUCGGGUUGUAAAGCUCUUUCGGCAGGAACGAAACGGUGGUCCUUAAUACGGGCUACUAAUGACGGUACCUGAAGAAGAAGCACCGGCUAACUACGU